GAUGAACGCUGGCGGCGUGCCUAAUACAUGCAAGUCGAGCGAACAGACGAGGAGCUUGCUCCUCUGACGUUAGCGGCGGACGGGUGAGUAACACGUGGAUAACCUACCUAUAAGACUGGGAUAACUUCGGGAAACCGGAUCUAAUACCGGAUAAUAUAUUGAACCGCAUGGUUCAAUAGUGAAUGACGGUUUUGCUGUCACUUAUAGAUGGAUCCGCGCCGCAUUAGCUAGUUGGUAAGGUAACGGCUUACCAAGGCAACGAUGCGUAGCCGACCUGAGAGGGUGAUCGGCCACACUGGAACUGAGACACGGUCCAGACUCCUACGGGAGGCAGCAGUAGGGAAUCUUCCGCAAUGGGCGAAAGCCUGACGGAGCAACGCCGCGUGAGUGAUGAAGGUCUUCGGAUCGUAAAACUCUGUUAUUAGGGAAGAAAAAAUGUGUAAGUAUCUAUGCCCGUCUUGACGGUACCUAAUCAGAAAGCAACGGCUAACUACGUG
rnacentral:rRNA from 1 species